rnacentral:precursor_RNA from 13 species
GAAAGGCGGCCAGGCCAUGGCGUGAGGGCCUGGAAGGCCCAGCUUUGCAGUGUGGACUGCACCCUGCAGACCUGGCCUUAGCAAACUCUCACACUGAUGACCCCGUGGCAGGAGC